AUGCCAAGGUACUUAAAUAUUUUUUCUCUUUACCAUUUGGGAUUUGUAUAUAUAAUUUAAUUCAAAUUGGUGUGUGUGUGUGUGUGUAUAUAUAUAUAUAUUAUAGAGUCACUGUGUUUUGUAGCCAACAUGCAUAUCUACGUAAACAAAAAUUUUAGUCUAUGUAAAGGUGUGCAAUGUCAACUCCAUAUAUGUGUUCAUAUGUAAGCAAAACAAUGUAUAGGUUGAGUACAGUCAGAUUGAUGAAUUGUAGUUUGACUCCUUUUGAUAAGAAAGUCAUUGAUAACUUAGCUUGAACAGUGUGGAAUGUCCUUUGCUUAGACUCUUUUAGUUGUUGACAUGGAUAUAAUGAACUACCUAAAAGUUUAAAGAACUAGAAAGCCAGGAUGUUAAAAAAAGGCUAGUAUCCUAGGAUGUUAAAAAGCUAACAAAAUUACAAAACUCUUACACAUGGAUCCUCAUUAUUCAAAGAACUAAAAAACUAUUCAAUAAGUUAAAUGUCUUGCCUUGAUAUGCAGGUACUAGCAUAUCUAUUUUGUUCAGCUGGAGAAAUUUUUUUUUUUUUUAUGGAUCUUUAACCGAAGAGCUGAAUAUCUGUCAUUUUCCCAAAUUAAUAGAAAAAUGUGCAAAUGGGAGCGGUGCCAAGUGGUCUAGGAUUUCCCACAUUCCAAAUAUGUAUUUUGAUGAAUGUAUAAAACAUGAAGCAAUUUGAAGAUCAUGUACAUUAUUAAGAUGGAUGACCAGUAAGUUUUCUCUGACCUCAUCCUCCUUUCUUUGCUUAUACUCUCCUUUCCCACAAAAUAAGAGUAUUUUUCAUAAUUUCUCCAAAUUUCUUACUUUUUCUCUUUAGUUUCCCCAAACAUUUUUGUUUUUGGUUGUCCUAUAAGUCAAUAAUUUCUUUUCAGUUCCUUUUCUUACUUUCAAUUUCAUUUGCUAUUUUCUAAAUUUUUCGUUCAUAUACUUUACAGAAAGUGCUCUAGGAUUCACCCUAUUCCAAAUAUCCAGAAAAACUUUUGGUUCCUAUUCUAAGCUAGUUCAAAAUAAUCUAAAAUUGGUAUUUUCUCUCAAAUGUCCCCUUUCCUAACUUGUCGCUUUGGAAUAAACUAGUUUUUCUUUUUUUCACUUACUAUAUUUCUUGUUCACUUAUUUUAUUGUGAUAUCACUUUUAUUUUGUUUCAAACUUGUAUUUUAAUGUAGAGCAAGUGUGCAACAUAUUUUGCUGUAUGGUGUAUGUAGACCUUCAAAUUUUUGGGUCAUUCAAUCCCUUUAGUUUUUUUUUUUUUUAGUUCAAUGUAUAAAAUUCUCUUCUACUUGUUACCAUUGCAUUGACUUCACUGUAAUGUUUUGACUUGACCAUUCUCUAAAAAUAGGCUUUUUAUUUGUACAAAUUUUAAAGGUCAAUAUCACAUUCACCCAUACGAGAGAAAAUGUUGAAUAUAUGACUGUGGCCUCUAAAACUGUUUUUAAGUGAACCUGGAAUUUUAAACUCCAUCAUAGUUUGUUAACAUCAUGAAUUAUUUUGAUGCGAUUUUCAAACUUGAGACAUAAUUGAUGACAUAAAUUAUUUUAAUGUUGUUAAUUAUAUUUUCCAAGCCUAAAGCUUCCAUGCUGGUGACUUCAACAACUUACUGGAUUCCAAGGUAGACAACUAGUGGUUUCUCUAGAUCAUGCAAAUAGUCAAAGGAUAGUUCCUAAUAUCUUAAGUAUACGGUGAUGGAUCUUUCUGUAUAAACUAACGCAGAUUGUAUAUUAUUCACUAUUUUUAAUACAAUUUGGUUUUGCAACUUAUAAGGAGGGAUAAAUUAAAGUACUCUAUGUUUAGCUACUUAUGUUGAAUACUGAUAUAAGUAGUUUAAGCUACCACGGUGUUGAUAAAUUCUGAUGACUUCCAUUAAUGGUUUAGAAAAGGCACCAAUAUCAUUGUUUCUGGUUUCUUUUAACACAAUAGUUUAGUGAGGAACUUUCCCCUGAAAUUGGAUAAAUGCAUGACUCUACUGGUUUCUUAAUAUAUAUAUAUAUAUAUAUUGGAUCUUAACAAAUGGGCAAUUUGUAAAUUCUUGUGAAUGAGUUGGAUGUCUUUGGUUGUUGAGGAUGCUAACCAAAAAGAUCACGUAGGUUCUACUUGGUGUAAAGCUUUUUGAAACAUUAGACAAUUAAUGACCAACUAUGUCCUUCUAUGACUUGAAGCUUUAGUGAUGCUAAUUGCAGAUUAAACUUUUAGUCAAUAGUAGCUAGUUCUUUGCAUGAGAUAAAAUGAGAUGAAAGAGCCUUGGAGAUUAAGGCCUCUAUUUGGAUCUUCUCAAGCUUGUUUUGAGCAUACUUUUGCUUCCCUUAUAAUUAUAUUGUUGUCAUGUGUUGGCAUUGGAGAAAAUAUCUAUUGUUUCCAGUUGUAGGAACAAUUUAUUAUAAUUGUAAGCCAACAAAAGUUUAUUAAAGUUGCAAUUUCUCUCAAAUUUCCUCAUGUUUUCCUCUUUUAAAACUUAGGAUGCCUUUCUAAAGAAGAGCACUUAGGAUUUGCCUCUAGCCAAUAAAACAUACGGGUAACUAACCUCACCUACCAGAUACAAUUGUUGGGAAAUCCAAGGGCAUUCACCUUUGAUUGGCUAAACUGUUUAUACUCAGAUGCAUCUUCAACCUCUUCAUCACACUUGAGUUUCUUACCAACAACACACAAUUAAAAUCUCUCACUUGAGAGAAAUUCUUUUGUAAUAUAAUAGGAAAAGUAAAAGAACCGGCCUUCUCUCUAAUCAAUUACAUGUCAAUAGUGAAAAAUAGGGUAUUAUAUAUGUGGAUGGACUAAUCUUUUGUCUCUUCUUCAUCUGCUUGAACACACUACACUAACAUAUUUGAAAAUCACGGAACCAAAUAGUGAGAACAUCUUCUACAGUAACUGGAGAACCUAUCGUUUAUACAUGAGCUAUACAUUUGCAAGAAGGAACACCCUUUCUAAAUAAUUGUAAUAUGCUAAGAAUUUCGUUAGUUGCCCGGUUACGGAAGAAUAUAUAAUAUUAGUAUCUUGAGUUUCUAAAACUCGAGAUUUAAUACGGAUCUCGAGUUUUUAAAACUCGUUUUCGUUGGUUUUCAUAUGCUGAUUUGGACAAAGUUUUCCACGUGGAUAGCGAGUUUUAAAAACUCGCUUUAUGAACUCGAGUUUUUAAAACUCGCUUUCUGUUUAAUAUUAAGGCACAUUUUUGACCACUUAAAACGUAAAAUAUGAUACACUCUCACUCUCUUAGACUCCACUCUCUCACUCUAAAAUUUCAAACUCACUCACUCGCAGUCCCAAAUCAGCUACCCUGUGCUCUCAGUCUCCACGGGCUCUCUUCUGCUUUGUUUGUUGUCUUCGUUCAUCUCGCUUUCUUCGUUCUUCCGUUCUUCGUUCUUCAUCUUGCUUGCUAGGUAAAAGUUCUCCGUUCCUCUUUUGCUGAAUUUAUUUUAUAGAUUUGGGCUUUUUGCAUGGUGGGUUACACAUUGUUGCUGCUGUUGUUUUUGUUUCUGGGUUGUGGAUUUACUUGGGUUUUCAAUUGCUUUUGAUACAUGCCCAUUUGGGUUUUAUUUAAAAUUGCUUUAUAUUUGUAGACAUAGAUGUCAUUGAAAUCAGAAUUUUUUUUUUUUUUUUGGUUUUGUUUUGGUGGGAUUGAGAAUAAAUGGAUAAAGGAGUUUUCUUUAUUUUGUUUGUCAUUCAAGAAUCAAUAUUGUGUUUAUGGGCAUAAAAAUUCAAAUUUUAAUUUUCUUUAGUGAUAAAAAGCUGAAUGGGUAUUCCUUGCUAUGUGUGUUGUUGGAUGGCCAUAUAGGAAUAAGAAAAAGGUGAAAUAAGAGGAUAUUUUGUUUGCAGUUCGUAUAAUGUCUAGAAUUCCUUAGCAAGACAAAGAAUUUGAGUAAUGUUGAUAAUACAAACCGGUCCUGAAUUAGGAAGUAUAAUUGUAACUAAGGCCAUAGAAAUAAAAGUUCCAUCAUGCUUGGAAAACUCUGCAUAACUUAGUAACAAAGAGUAAAAAUUUUAAAUGAACAUGUACAUGAAUGAAUAUAUAGGUACAUAUUGAUUCUUUUAGUUUUGAUUCAUAACAUUACCAAGUUCAUUCACUCACUAUAUCAAAUUUUAACUUCUUGUUAACAUUACCACGUUCAUGUAAUGUCCAUGUCCACUCCAAAAUAUUUUAUAAUAUUUUCAACGAUUUGUUUAAUUGUCAUUUGAUUUAUUACCAAGAUGUUUCUUUUGACUUGACAAUUUCUUUUUAGUUGGGAGGUUGCCUCUAAAUCCUCGAAAGUUAGCAUGCAAUCAUAUUAGGAAGUUAUUUUCAUUGAAAUUUUCCAAACAUGGUGUAAGUUCAAUAUUGCUUUAUAAUUUCAGCACAUUUAUUAUGAUUCCAUCUCACAGUUACUUACUAGAACAAUUGUACUAAUUAAUUGUUUGGAAGAUAAGAUGUUCUCCGGCUAGAAGUUUAAGCUUGUCAAGUUGGUUUAAAUCAUUGAAGAACUUAAACUCUCUUUGUGGAUCUUUGUCAUGCUCAAUUGAAUCAGUUAGUGACCCUAUUGAAUCUAUACAUGCUUCAAUUAGCUUCCUAAAUCAACUGAUUUUAGAUGAAUUAUAUCUAUUAUUUUCUUUGCCCCUUCCUUUGCCCCCACACUUUUAAUGAUCUCACAGUAGCACUCUUUGCAGUAUGGAGCCUCGGAUUGAUGAGGAGCCACAGAUCUUGCAGCCUGGUCCUAGUGAUGGGUCAUUGUUGACGCGACAACCACAUCAUCGAUCAGAGGACAUUUGGAAUGGCGAGGUGAAAUAUCUAGUUCUAACAACUGCUUUAAUUUUUACGUUAUCUUUGACUUUUAGUUAGCAAGUUCUUUCAAAGUUGUAUUUGUAGUUCUAACAACUGCUAUAAUUUUUAUAGAUUUUGCAGGACCCGGGCCCACUUACGUGCCGUGGUCGCACUACGGAGAUGGCAAACAUUCAAAUGUGAGAUAAUCGGGUGAUUGACAUUAUCAAGUUGCUAAGGCUUGAAGGAUUGUUUAGGGCCCCUUCCAGAGAGAUAGAUAAUUGUGUUAUAACGGCCCUAGUUAAGCGAUGGCGGCCGGAAACUCAUAUGUUCCAUCUUCCACAUGGUGAAAUGUCAAUCACCCUACAAGAUGUCGAAGUCAUUUUCGGACUUCCUAUAGACAGUGAGAUCUUGGUUGGGCCGACUGCUGUGUUAGAUGGAACUUGGAGCAAUCUUUGCAUGGAGUUGCUUGGUUUUACUCCAGCGAAUGAAAACAAAACCUUGGUGGGGCAAAGAAUUCUCAUCAGCCGCCUUGUUGAGGCCAUUGCAGUGCCACUGCCUCAUGACGCAACGGAGAUUCAGAUACACAAGUAUGCCCGGUGCUAUAUUUUAUCACUACUAGGAGAUAAGCUUUUUAUGGACAAGUCAGGAGAUAGGGUGCAUCUGAUGUUUUUGGAGCAACUGCGGAACCUUCGUGAGAUGUCAAUCACCCUACAAGAUGUGGAGGUCAUUUUUGGACUUCCUAUUGACGGUGAGGUCUUGGUUGGGCCGACUGCUGUGUUAGAUGGAACUUGGAGCAGUCUUUGCAUAGAGUUGCUUGGUUUUAUUCCGGCGAAUGAAAACAAAACCUUGGUGGGGCAAAGAAUUCUCAUCAGUCGCCUUGUUGAGGCUAUUGCAGUGCCACUGCCUCAUGACGCAACGAAGAUUCAGAUACACAAGUAUGCCCGGUGCUAUAUUUUAACGCUACUAAGGGAUAAGCUUUUUAGAGACAAGUCGGGAGAUAGGGUGCAUCUGAUGUUUUUGGAGCAACUGUGGAACCUUCGUGAUCCGUCACAGUAUAGUUGGGGUAGUGGUUCCCUGGCCUGGUUGUACAAAGAGUUGUGUCGGGUAAGCGAGAAAGGGGCAUCGCAGAUUGGUGGGGUGUGCACCUUGGUCCAAUAUUGGGCAUAGGCAAGGUUGCCAUUCUUAUGCCCGAGGAUAGAGCCCCCACCUGGAUGUGAUUAUGGCCCGUGGCCGUAUGCUUCACUUGCCUUUAAGUAAGUAUUUUUUUGAUAUUUAGUGUGUUAUGCAAUGCACUCUUCUUAGUAAUUAAGUAGCUACUUAUCUUAUGUUAUUCGCUCGUAACUGUAGGUGGGUGCGGGUGCCAGGCUCGAAGAGUAGGCCAUCCGGGAUGGCCUUGGUCUACUAUCGUGAGCAAUUAGUUACAAUGCAGCCGAACCAGGUAAUAAUAUUCAAAAAUUUUGUUUGGUUAUGUUAAUUUUCCUUAAGAAUAUGAUUGCUUCAUACUUUAACAUAUCUUCUGUUUUAAUUUUUGUUUUUUCUUUUAUCUAUUAAUUCUCCCUUGUUUCACAUUUUAAGAUGCUAUGAUAAUUGUUUUUUGUUUCUAUUGUAGAUUGUGUGGCAGCCAUACGAGGCACACUUCGUCCACCUUCUUGACUUCUGCAUUGCAAUGAGGGGUACGUGGACAGCAAGGGUACCGCUUGUGUGUUUUUGCAUAGUGGAGAUACACCACCCAGACCGUGUCCUUCGACAGUUUGGGUUGGCGCAAAAGCAGCCUGACCGUGUUGUGUACGAUGAAAGGCUGCACAGAAUAGACUUGCGUGGGAAGGUGAAAAAGAAUUGGAGGGAGGAGCAUGAACCGUAUAUCAUUUCAUGGAAUAGCAGAGAACAACGACUUUGCCAUGCACCUCCUCAGACUGGUGAGAUGGCUCGCAAUCAUGACUAUUACCAAUGGUACCGACUGGUCACUCGAAAGUAUGUCGACCGCAACAGCGCUAAAUUACAUCAGCUGGUAAUGUGUUCUAAUUAUAUUUUAUUGCUUGCUUUGUUUUUUCUUUAGUAUAUGUACGAACGUAGAAUCAAUUGAUUUCUUCUUUCAACAAAUUUGGUUUGAUCUAACUGACAUCCAAUUAAAAAGAGUUUCUGUUGCAUAUAGUAUCAUAAUAAAACUUUCAGUUCUUAGUUUAGAUGGGUAUUUAAGUAGAUUAAUAAGUACUAUAUUGUGCAUUCUAUAAUUGUUACAUAAACGUGGAAAAUUCUGAUUGUACUGGUUCUUUCUCUGUUUCAAAUUGAAAGUCAUUUAGCGUUGUUGAAUUGGCUUCCUGUAGGCAGCCGAAAACACAACCAUGUCCGGUGCAUCCUAUAUAAUGUGGCUGGGCUUGGUGGUGAUCCUGCAACCACUGGGCAGGCAAACAACCGUACUGAGACUGAAUCAACAACUACUGCAGCCCUAAGCACAAGUGCAGCACCCGUAACUACACCGACCCGUGGUCAACUUGCUAUAGCAAGCACAAGCACAGCUAGGGGCCGUGGUUGGCCUGCUAUAGCAAGCCUAAGCCCAACUGUAGCUAGGGGCCGUGGUCGGCCUGCUACAGCAAGCCCAAGCACAAGUGCAGCUACGGGCCGUGGUCAGCGUGCAACAACUCCUCGGGUUGUAAGUACUCAUGAGAUACCUGCACCCAUCCUGAGGUCCCUCCACCCAUGAGAUCAUUAUCAUCUCCCCACCCCGAGGUCCCUCCACCCAUCCCAGAUGUAUCUCCUCAAUCCGAGGUCCCUCCACCCAUUGUAAAUAUAUCUCCCUAACCCGAGGUCCUUCCACCCAUCCCAAAUGCAUUUCCUCAGUCCGAGGUCCCUCCACCCAUGGUAGAUGCAUCUUCUCAGCCCGAGGUCCCUUCACCCACCCCACCUUCACAGCCCAAUUUCGAUCUCGGUAUACAUUCUCAGUUGACCCCUCCGUUGCACCCCGAGACACCCUCAUACCCACCCACCAGCUCUAGUGCACCCACUUUGCCCAUAGACCCACCCCGUACUGAACCCAUGACGAUACCCACUCCUGGCCUCUACACAGAGCAUUAUUACCCACCUACCUCAUCCUCAUCUGACCCUCUUGGACCUUCGGUUGGGAUUGACACUCCACAGCCAAAUACUGAUGUACCGGACGAGAAUCCCCCACCUCAGCCCUCACCCCCACAAGGUAGACCGCAACGUGCUAGAAGAGCACCCACUUGUGGGACAGGUGGACACAAAAUAGGACACAAACGCAACUCUAUGAUGUGAUAACAUUAAUUUCCCUGUAUAUGCCUAUUUUGCAGUUCACUUUAUUCUUUACAAUUACAUCGAAUAUUGAUUGUAUGCAUCUAAUGUCUUUGCAACACGAUGAUGACCCUAAGGAUGAUGCCCCGUAGCCUCCUCCCCCGCCCAAACAUUACACGAGGGUUAAAAAACGCAAAAUUGGUGAACCUUGAAAUAGAGGUUUGUUAAAGAUGCAUGCAGCAAAUUACUUUGUCUUAUGGAUGGUGCAUGUGAGAUAUAUGUUAUAGAAAAUUCUCAAAUGUCAAAGUUUUUGUAUGUUGAAUUCAAUUGGUUUUUGAGAAAUAUGAUGGAUUUUGAGUUUUGAAAAUUUAUCUUUUCUGUAGUUUUAUUAACUAUGCGUGUAGUUUGGGUUUAUGGAUUUCAAAAUCUAAGUUAUAUCAUACUUGUAAACCCAUAUAAUGUGAUUGAAGUUGCAAUAUUUUGACCUUUUUUUUAAAUCUUUACAGGAAUUGAUGCUGCUGUAACUCUCGUUCUGAAUUUCAAGGUGUGUAUCUUUAACUAGUCUUUUUGUUAAUUUUCAAAUUUAUGGAAAGCUGUCUGAUCUGAAGCCGUAGCAUGCAGAGUUAUAUGGUGGGAAAUCUUCCAGGUGUCAAAUUCUUUGGAUACUAUUGUCAAAGUGGAAGAUUUUCAAGUUUCUUUGGAUACUAUUGUUGGAAAUCUUCCAGGUGUCAAAUUCUUCUCUCUCUCUCUCUCUCUUUUUUUUUUUUUUUUUUUUCGUGCCUGAUGAGUACUCGCUUUAUCUGGGAUGUAUCUCCCGUAUAUUCGAGCUGUAUCAAAAUUUUAAAAAAUAAAUAAAUAAAUCCUUUUUUUUCGCUUGAUACUCUCUAGGUACGGUUGUACCAGUAUCCAAUUUGUAUCCAUACUAGGUACAUAUUGGCGGGGGCGACGUUGUGUUCAAGCCAGGGGGUUCAAAUGAACCCCCUGACUUGUCAUUUUUUUUUUUUUUAUAAUUAUUAUAUANGGGCGACGUUGUGUUCAAGCCAGGGGGUUCAAAUGAACCCCCUGACUUGUCAUUUUUUUUUUUUUUAUAAUUAUUAUAUAUAUAUAUAUAUAUAUAAAUUUUUUUAACUUUUGUUUUGAUCCCUCCAAAAUAAAAAUUUGAACACUCUAACCCUAAAUUUUAUUUAAACCCAACUAAAAUAAAUUUGAAUAUGAUCAUCUUAAUUCUACUUUCACAAUAUUUUCACAAUAAAUGUUAUAUGGCAAGUUAUAACUGGUUUUUAUUUGAACCCAUAAUUAAUAUCACUUUUUACCUACUAUUAACAACUUACCACCUAGAUUUUGUUAUAAAAAUUUUGUGAAAGUAUUGUGUAUUGAAUAUUAUUAAAAAAAAGUUUCAUUUUUGCUCCUUUGUUAAAAAUAUAUAUGUAUAUUCUUUGCUAACUUACUUUACUUUACAUUUGUGAUUCUUUUCCAUUCUCUUUAUCUCUCUUUCUCUUUCUCUUUAUUUAAUCAAAUUGUUUGAUAAAUACUCUAUAGAUUUUCAAGUCUAAGAAGUUUUUUAGUGCUUGCUCAAAUUCCAAGAGAGUGAUCACAUGUAUGACUAAAAAGCCAUACAUGAUUCUAAAAAAAAGCCAUACACUUCAAAAGCAAAAACUUAUAUUAGUUACUAUUUUUUUUCUUUGUUUCACAUUACUCCUAGUUCUACUCUUAGGUGUGUUAGUAUUCUUCAUUAUUGUAUAUUUUUAUUUAAUUGACAAUACAUAUAAAUAGAAUAAGUUAUUAUUAAUUUGACAAAAAUUUAUGAUUAAUUAUUUAAUUAUAUUUGUUGUCUUACUGAUCUUUAAACUACGAAUAACUUUUUUUAUAUUAUUGUACAAUAUAAUUGUAUUAUAUACUAAAUUGUAUUUAGAAUACUAUUUUAGAUUAUUGUAUAUAAUAUGAAAGUUGUAUGUACAGAAAAAAAAAAAUUCAUUUUAUUUUUUAUUUACUCUCAUGACAAAUUUCUUGCUCUAUCAUUAUUGAACCCCCUAAAAAAAAAUCCUGGAGUCGCCACUGCAUAUUGGAAACCAAGUUGAUGACAAAAAUGUCAUAUUGGUGCAUCAAAGUCAGUAACUAUCUAUUAACUAUUAUUUCCUCCAUAUAAUCUUCAAUUAAAUUGUUAGGAGUGUCAAUAAUAUGUGAAAUGGGAAAAAAAAAGUGUGUUGUGAGGGAAAACAAUGUAUUCUAUGUAUUUGAGAGAAGUUUGUAUGCCUUGGUUGUUGAUCUUGGUAAGUCAUAUCUCUAGUGAAAGUUUUGUACAAGGGAAGUCUUAGUGUAAUUUUUACUUUUACUAAGGAAAUAAUAAAGACUGGAAAUAUUAGACAGUAAAUUUUUGCACUCUUAAUUCACAUAAAUUGGUUGAACACUUGUUUAUGUUUUUGUUGGGUUGUUGGCUAAGAUUAAAUAGUGUAAUGUCAUUGUAAGUCGUAAAAUUUAUGGUGAAAUUAAUUUUAAAAAAAUAAAACCAUAUAGUUUCAAGGAGGUUUGUGGGCAGGAGAUGCGAGGUCCCCAAGGAGGUUUCAAAUUAUGAAACCUAAUAGUUUUCUAAGUAUAAACUAAUAAAUUAAACUGUAAACUUUUCUUUCUCCGUCAGUAACAAUAGGAUCCAAAGGUUCUAAUCCAUGUAAUAUGUACUUAAUCUAUAUUCUAUAUGUACACAAUAUGUACUUAAUCUAUAUUCUAUAUGUACACACCAUUCAUUGAAAAAAUGAAGACUGAUACUUUAUAUGGUGGGCUUGAAUUCCAUGCAAGCCGUAGCAUGCAGGGUUAUAUGGUGGGAAAUCUUCCAGGGUUAUAUGCUUUAUGAAAUCUUCCAGGGUUAAUGGAAUCUGUGUAUCCAAAGAAAGAAGCACUCCUUAUUUGUCAAAGUGGACCAAACCCAAGCCCUCCGCUAUCUCAUGAUGGCAUUACCAUUUUUGCCUUUUACAUAUGUAUGUUUAAGAUUCAAGACAUUAUGUUCCCUCUUAUGCUUUAGUCAAAGGCAAGAACCUCUGUUUUCUUUGAGAAUGUCUUUUAGAGGGGCCAAAGCAUCAGUAAUUUUGUAAUUCUAUUAGUAGAUCAGGUAGUUUUUGAAGGGAAAACAUUUCAAAUAUUUCCAAAGGGCUGAAUUUGUCUCUACUUCUUCUAGGCAUGUUCCUAUUGGCUGUUAGUUUUUGUUUUUGUUUGUUCUUUUUUUUUUUUUUUUUUUUUUUUGGGGGGGGUCUAGUCAUUUAGAUUUUGAUAGAGCUCAUAAGUAUUUUGGAAAUUGAUUUGGAAUCUUAUUUUCAGGGUCCAUCCACAACUGCUGUUAUUUUGAAGUUUGAGCUAAUGUAUGCCCCCAUAUUGAACAUAAGGUUGGUUAUCAGAACUUCUUUAAUAUCCAACCCAAAUGAAGUUAAACUGCAAGCUAUGUUUCUUUCCCUGUAUGCUUUGUUUUUAUGUUAAUUAAAUUGUCAUUUUAUUCUUUCACUGCUUGCUUGAUAUCACACAAACUUGAAUUGAAUACCCUUUUAACUCUUAUCUGAACCCAGAACGCUGGUUGUGCCACACUAUUUGCAGGCCUGAGUUGCAGGCUUCUCUAGAACCAUGCUCUGUUGCUGUUCAUGAAUUCCGCAUUCCUCCUAAUGCUCUUCUGGGAAUGCAUUCUUAUUGUCCUGUUCAUUUUGAUGCUUCCCAUGCUGUCCUUCUUGAUAUAAGUGUACAUGUCAGUUCACUGAGAACUGGUUCUUACAUCCCCCCACUGAAGGUACCCAGGUUUGUCAUGAUUCCACUUUAUGACAUAGUCAGAAUUGUAUCCCUUAAUCUGGAAUUACCUGCUUUUAUAUGUCAACUUUUAUCAGCAUUGAUUACCAACUACAUAUUACAGUGCAACUUGGGCUGUUGAAGAUGAUAGUGAUCAAGAUUUUGAUGGGUCAAACAAGGUGUGUAAUGUCACAAUGAUUUUUUUGAAGCUGAAACCUAUAUCUUUCUUGAUUAGCAUGCCCAUGUAAUUUUUUUUUUAUAACUUUUAUUUGAAAAGAAAAUGGGAAGAUCACACACGAGAGAUGUGAAUCUAUCCCUUUUAAAAGAAUACAAUCCAAAGACAAGAAAAUCUAUAAAUUCAACAAAAGACAUUGAGGGGAUGUGAUGGAUAUGGAAAUUAGUUUGUUACUACGUAAAUUCGUUUAUUCAAAACUUCUUCAUUUGGACAGCAGCUUGGGGCAGGAUCCUUACUUGUGAGAAUCUCAUCAAUUGGGGGUUCUCUUUAGUUAGCUAGUGUUGCACUUGUAGGUGUAGUGGGGAAAUAGUUGACCAUCUAUUGCUUUAUUGCACAGUUCCUUUUAGUUUGAGGAGUGUCAUCUUUAAGAUGUUUGGGAUUCAUUGGGUUUGCCUUCGAUGGUAGCAACCUUAUUGCUUGGUUGGAGGAAUUGUUUUGGGAAACACUCGUCAAACAUUUGGAACCUUGUUCCAUCAUGUUUGAUAUAAAUUGUGUUUAAGGUACAUAAUAAACACACCUUUUAGAAUAUUGAGUGGUCUCAGGAGCACCUACAAUUAGUGCUAAUAUGUACUUUGUUUGAUUGGUCUAUAGUGUAAAGGAGAUAUUAGUAAAAUCAACAUCAUCUUCACCUUUCCAUUAAUAAUCUUGCCAUUUCUAAUGCUGCAUUUAACAAGAGAUGGAGGGAGUACAAAAUUUCCCUCAAUAAUACAAAACCCUCUUAACACUCCCCCUCAAACUGAAGCAUCAUCAUGCCCAGCUUAUUAUAAGGGUUAAGAAAUUGAUUCUUGCUUAAUGCCUUCAGGAAAUAUCUCUUAACUGAUCAGACAAUUUAACAUAAGAUUAUGUACUUUGCCGCCUCAUAAAUAUCUUGCUUAAAAAAAUGAUAAUCCACUCUAAUGUGUUUGGUUUGCUAUGUAAUACUAGAUUACCAGCUAAUAUAGAUUGCUGCCUGAUUACUACUGAAUAUUUCCAUCAGUUAUUUACUAGAAAACCCUCCACCAUAACAUCUCACACACUGUAUAGACCCUAGCCCUAUGCUCCACUUAUUUACUUGCUACUAAUGUAGGAGGCUCAAAGAAAUAUCUAUUUUAAUUUAGUGAAAUUGUGUUUUUAUUGGUCAAUUGUAUUUUAUUUUAAUUGCAUGUAUUUAAGCAGAUUUAUUAGUAUUUUUAUUUUAAGUCAAGUGUAUUUUUGUAAUGAGUCAAUUAGGGUUUCCCAUGACAGUUAGAUUUAUGGUUAGUAGACAAUAUAAGCAAAGUCUUGUACUCCUAUUAGAAAGGAAGGGGGGGGGGGGGGGGGGGGGGGGUUUUGGGGGGGGGGGGGGGUUAUUUUGAUGAAUACAAUUUUUAUUGAAAUUGUCCCAAUGGUCUGAUGCCGACUUCAGCCAACCCUAGGUGCUGACUCCUAUAGGUUUUCUCAUGCUUGGAUCUGACCCCAAGCAAGCUUAGGUGCCGACUCUUAGGUUCUCAAUCCUUUAUUUUUCUGGUUCUUAAUUAUGUUGUUGAAUUUUUCUGGUUUUUCCUGCACCAAUGACCAGAUUUUUUGCUUCUUCAUUCCCCAAGUGACAAGAUUACCUCCUGCACUGAUGUAAAGAGCAUACAUGAGCCUAUCAAGAUGAUCACCAGUCCUAUUUGCAUAUGAAAAGAGAUAUUAUAAAGACUGCUGGCGGGGUUGAACACACCUUGUGAGGAGCGUUUAGGUGCUUCAACUUAUGGCAUAAACAUCCAUUGUUGUUGCCUUGGAGUCUGCAUAAACUGACUAACUACUACAACAACUAAUGGGUUUGCUUUGGAUGUCUUCAGAGCCGAGGUAUACUUCUUUCUCAAAUACCAAAAGUGAGGCUUUCACUAUUUUUGUUAUUGUUGUUUAUAUUCUAUUUUUGGUGCUUUGCACCUGCAUCUUUUCAUGUCCUGAUUUAUUGAGCAAAAUGUAUUUCCAAAUUGUUGCAAAGUACCACUUGUAGGCCAUAUGCAUAGGUGAUAGGAUUGUUGAUCAUUUUUUUUUAUAGAUCCAUUUUGAGAUCAUCUAUACUUUUUUGAUAGGUAGAUCAUCCGUAUAGAUGUUCAAACCUCUCUCUCUCUCUCUCUCUCUUGUUUAUACAUAUUAAUACUACUUAAUGCCCCUUAUGCCUUGGGCGACACAUGUGCUAGUCUUUUUGCAUCCCUUCAAUGUCAUUUGUUUGAAUUUACUUGUAAUAAGAAAAGGUUCUUCAACAGAUUGUUACCAAUGAGGGUGCCAAUAUUUGCAUGUAGAUGACCCUCUAUGCCAUUUGAAUCUUUUUUUUUUUUUUUUCUUGAAUUCAUUUAUCAUGUAGAUGGAUGGUGUUUGGACACCCUGCAAAAUAUCUUCUAUAUUUCUUCCGAAGCCUUUGAAGGCAAUAACUCAUUUUUAUUCCUUAUGAGUGAAGUCACUACCAAGACCAAUAAUAAUAUGAUAUAUGAGAGAACAAUUAUUUGAAACAAUUAACAAUGCUAUAAGGCAACAACAUAUUAUUGUAAAAGAGAGAAUGGCAGUCCCUCAAUUGGUUUUUUUAAUAGCUUAAAAAAAGUAAAGAUUGGCUGAAUGGGUGGAAAGAGAAAAUAAAGAAGAAAAAACAUUUAAUACCUACAGAAAUCUGUUUUUCUAGAGAAAUUGUAUGACCAUAUUGUCUGUCUUUAUUGAUUCCAAUUAGACAUGCAAGGCAGGUUCUUGAUAAUUUGAACAAGCUUCACAUAUAAACAGAUGAUUGAAUGUCAGGUACUCAGGUCACAAGCUAGGCUGAUACUAGAUUCUGUAGUAAUGCGUAUUAGAUUUCUUAGAAAUCCUGUGCAAUAGAAAAUGGACCUUCUUAUCAUAUUUUUGUUGGUGGCAUCCUAAAUGCAUAGUUCAUGGAGCUUCUUCUCUUGUAAAUUGUGGCCUGCCACUUUUUUUGUUUUUUCAAUCUAGAGUGUUAUCACUUAUCAGUUUUUAGCCAAGUGUGGUUAUCCAAAGACUUAAUUUCGUUUUUUCCUUUGUUCAUCAGCAAUGCAAGGAAGGCCAGGAUGUCUUGCCUGAGCAAAUCAAAGCAGUACGUUUGGAUUCGGCUGGCUUCCAUGGUAUGAUGUAACCCAAGUGCUUCAUAUAAAUGGAGGAACUAACUGUAGUGUUGUACCUCAAGUACCUUGUAAAUGCAUUUGCUCCUCAUUCCUAUUGGUAAAGGUACCCACAGACCAAAGUCAAGUAGUUCAGCUAAUGUUCGAAAGGUCAAUUUGCUAUCAUUAGUGGAUAUGUUUUGUACUCAUGCUUAGAAGCGUAGCAAACUUACUGUGUUGUCUUAAGUAUCUUCAGCUUUUAGAAUAAAAUCAUUUGCUGUCGGCAUAUUCUCUAUGAAGCCAAUGGGAUAUUUUCUUAUCCUCGUGCAUGUUUGUUUAAGUAGGACAAAGCACAAUCAUAAAUAACAUUUUUUUUUUUCAAUUUAACAUUGUGCUUCAGCUAAAAAGCUAUGAAUUAGAAAGCCUAAGCUAUUUCAAGUUAUACCUGACAGUAGUACUUAUAAAAAAAAAAAAAAAAAAAGUUAUACCUGACAGUAGUGAUUUUUAGCAUUUGCAAUGUGGAAAGGAAGCAAGUUUGUUAUUUCACAAGUGCUUGGAAAUCCUAAACACUGUUCUGUUAAUCUCACUAUUUUAGUAGCUGAAUAUAAGUAUAAAAUGAAUGGAUAUCACAAUGAGUAGAUUAUAGAGGAACUCCAUGUCUUAGAUAAAGAAUCGUUUCUAAUAAAUUAUAAUUUAUUGAAGAUAAUUAUACAUUAUCAAGAAGUGAUGAGGAUCAUUUUUAUUUUGUUUGCUUGUUGUUUAAAAAAUAUCACUUUAUUCAUGAAGUUAAAUCAGUUAAUCCACCAGUGUCAAAUGUAGCAAGUACUGUGUAUUCAUGGUGGCAAUACCAACUGUGUGAUGUUUUUAUUGAAGCAAUUAAGCCUUUCUUUGUUGGAGACACACAACCUUCAUCUAGUUCACCAAUUAAUAUCUGGCCAACCCUAAUUUACUCUCCCUCCCUUCUCUCUCAAUCUACACAGCCCAUAAAACUUUAGUUUGUGUCAAUAUCAUUUUCUGUAUAUUAUAUUCCACGAAAGGGCUACACGGACUGGAGGGUAACAUUGAUAACUAAUAAUAAAAAAGGAUUAUGUCAAAAAAUUUUAUUUUGUUAUAACAUAUUCAAAUUUGCAUGAUGUACAAUGUAGGAAUAGAUAAAUUUCUAAAGGAAGGAAGCUUAUCAUUGGCUGAGCAAGUGUGAUCAUGGGCUGGCACCUUCCAUCAUGGUUUGGUAGACUAUAAGCUAUGCGAGAGUUGUGCCAGUGUGAUCUGAUUGAACUGCCUUAAACUCUAUGCAGCUUUAUUUGCAUCUCAUGAUUCAUGAUGCACAUGGGCGUAAGAUGUCUAGGUCCUUGGGAAAUGUCAUUGAUCCGCUUGAAGUAAUAAAUGGGAUAUCCUUCGAAGGUCUUCAUAAGAGUCUAGAGGAUGGGGUAUCGUCAGUAGUUGCAUAA
rnacentral:sRNA from 1 species